GCUUUGCGUGAGGGAUUGAAAUGAAAAGCCCACAGCCUGACGAAGGAAGUGCGAGGACUUGUAAUGGAAAGCCCGACCCUUU
rnacentral:misc_RNA from 1 species